UAGGGAAUCUUCGGCAAUGGGGGGAACCCUGACCGAGCAACGCCGCGUGAGUGAAGAAGGUUUUCGGAUCGUAAAGCUCUGUUGUUAAGGAAGAACGAGUGUGAGAAUGGAAAGUUCAUACUGUGACGGUACUUAACCAGAAAGGGACGGCUAACUACGUGCCAGCAGCCGCGGUAAUACGUAGGUCCCGAGCGUUGUCCGGAUUUAUUGGGCGUAAAGCGAGCGCAGGCGGUCAAUUAAGUCUGAUGUGAAAGCCCCCGGCUCAACCGGGGAGGGUCAUUGGAAACUGGUUGACUUGAGUGCAGAAGAGGAGAGUGGAAUUCCAUGUGUAGCGGUGAAAUGCGUAGAUAUAAGGAGGAACACCAGUGGCGAAGGCGACUCUCUGGUCUGUAACUGACGCUGAGGCUCGAAAGCGUGGGUAGCAAACAGG
rnacentral:rRNA from 1 species